rnacentral:rRNA from 1 species
AACGCGAAGAACCUUACCUGGGCUCGAAAUGCAGAGGGAGAUGCCAGAAAUGGCUUCGUCCGAAAGGACUUCUGUAUAGGUGCUGCAUGGCUGUCGUCAGCUCGUGCCGUGAGGUGUUUGGUUAAGUCCAGCAACGAGCGCAACCCUUAUCAUUAGUUGCCAACACGUAAGGUGGGGACUCUAAUGAGACUGCCUAGGUUAACUAGGAGGAAGGCGAGGAUGACGUCAAGUCCGCAUGGCCUUUAUGUCCAGGGCUACACACGUGCUACAAUGGUCGGUACAGAGGGCUGCAAGACCGUAAGGUGGAGCAAAUCCCAGAAAGCCGAUCUCAGUUCAGAUUGUGGGCUGCAACUCGCCCACAUGAAGUCGGAAUUGCUAGUAAUGGCGCGUCAGCAACAGCGCCGUGAAUACGUUCCCGGGCCUUGUA